CUCACUUCUCGGCCUUUUGGCUAAGAUCAAGUGUAGUUCUUAUCAGUUUAAUAUCUGAUACGUCCCCUACCCGGGGACCAUAUAUUAAAUUGAUUUUUGGAACAGGGAGAUGGAAUAGGGGCUUGCUCCGUCCACUCCACGCAUCAACCUGGUAUUGCAGUACCUCCAUACCAAAGGCACCUUUG
rnacentral:snRNA from 1 species